rnacentral:rRNA from 1 species
UGCCUCCUACGGGGGGCAGCAGUGAGGAAUAUUGGUCAAUGGCCGGAAGGCUGAACCAGCCAAGUCGCGUGAGGGAAUAAGGCCCUAUGGGUCGUAAACCUCUUUUGUCAGGGAGCAAAGGCGUCCACGUGUGGACGAGAGGAGAGUACCUGAAGAAAAAGCAUCGGCUAACUCCGUGCCAGCAGCCGCGGUAAUACGGAGGAUGCGAGCGUUAUCCGGAUUUAUUGGGUUUAAAGGGUGCGUAGGCGGAGUGUCAAGUCAGCGGUCAAAGCCCGGGGCUCAACCCCGGCCCGCCGUUGAAACUG